rnacentral:rRNA from 1 species
CGCGCGUUCCCAUUUUGUUGGUUUCUGAGAUCGCCGUAAUGAUUAAUAGGGAUAGUUGGGGGCAUUCGUAUUCCGUCGUCAGAGGUGAAAUUCUUGGAUUGCCGGAAGACGAACUAUUGCGAAAGCAUUUGCCAAGGAUGUUUUCAUUGAUCAAGAACGAAGGAAGGGGGAUCGAAAACGAUCAGAUACCGUUGUAGUCUCUUCUGUAAACUAUGCCAAUUGGGGAUUAGCUCAGGAUUUUUAAUGACUGAGUUAGCACCCGAAGAGAAAUCUUUAAAUGAGGUUCGGGGGGGAGUAUGGUCGCAAGGCUGAAACUUAAAGGAAUUGACGGAAGGGCACCACCAGGUGUGGAGCCUGCGGCUUAAUUUGACUCAACACGGGGAAACUCAC